GAGGGUAUAGCUCAGUGGUAUAGAGAGUGCUUAGCAUGCACAGGGUCCUGGGUUCAAUCCCCAGUACCUCCA
rnacentral:tRNA from 1 species